UACGGAGGGUGCGAGCGUUAAUCGGAAUUACUGGGCGUAAAGCGCACGCAGGCGGUGAAUUAAGUCAGAUGUGAAAGACCCGAGCUUAACUUGGGAAUUGCAGUUGAAACUGGUUAGCUAGAGUCCUGUAGAGGCAGGGAGAAUUCCAGGUGUAGCGGUGAAAUGCGUAGAGAUGUGGAGGAAUACCGGUGGCGAAGGCGGCCUCCUGGAC
rnacentral:rRNA from 1 species